ACAGCAGAGUCUACACUGAACAUCAGAACAUAGGCUUGGAAGCAGCCAUUGUGUUUGGAAAGCGUAUUAGCUCACUGAUCUAGUAGUGCUCCGCUUAGUCAUGUUUGGUAAGAACUCUAGCCGAAGCUCACCUAUAAUACACCCAC
rnacentral:rRNA from 1 species